ensembl:lncRNA TTTY14 testis expressed transcript, Y-linked 14
AGGAGGUAAUAAGACACCGAAGUGAGGACUUCACAGGCUGCUUGGGAGAAGACAAUCAUCCGUGGGCUUGGGAAAGGGAGAAAUGCCUACUGAGUUUAGGGAAUUGCUUGCUGGAAGAAAUGAUGAUGCGGGAGGCCAGAUGCGCAAGAUGGACACUCGGCUCCUCCUUCGUCCCCGCCUCUCCUCGCUUCCAGGGUAGCAGCCUCAACAAGGGAAACUAUUGUUCCAGUGGAGGCUGCGAGGAUGUCGGUGAUUUACGCGCCGAGCUGUAGCUGCAAAAGGACAAGGGCAAGUGCCGGCCCGACCUAGGUGAGUGCAGCUGGGGUCCCGAGGGUAGCGUCCCAGAGCCGCGGGCUGGGAGGCGCUGUGGAUGGCAGCGGGGCGCUGUGAGAGUAUCAAGAGGUACUGAGGCUAGACAAUGGGAGGGACUUCCCAGUGAGGAGGGAGUGAGAAGUGAUAGCUCUGUGCACCCGGAGACGCAAACACGCCCAACCCUGGGGCCACCGGGCCGAGGCUGAUGGGAGACAAUGGGAGACGGCUUUGAUGAGUGGAGAAACACCAGGGUUUUUUGUUUUCUGUUGAAUUGGAUAAAAUGACAGCAACACACGUGGAGUGAAUUUAAGGAGCGGAGAGUUUAAUAGGCAGCAUGAAGGAAGGAGCUUUCUUUUACAGAGACAGAGGGAGGAGGGCUCUAUAGCCGAGAUAGGAAACCUGGAGUGCCCCGAGAUACUAGCCAGUUAUAUGAGGAGUCGGUGUUUGAUAUGCUUAGGGUAUUGGUUUGACCAGGAAUAUUGUUCCCAUAGUCUUUGAAAAAACUGACCCUUGCACCUUAGCCUUUUAAUAUGCAAACACAGGGGCCCUGAUGUUCUAUACACGUGGGGAUAUGUCGAGGUGGCCAUGUUGCCAGGCAAAUAUGGGGGCAAGGGCAAGAGGAAAACCGUGAGAAUCGCCAUGUUUGGGUGGACCCAGUUUCUAAUGGUGUGCAUUUGCAUGUCAAAGGUUGCCAGCGGGCUCUUAGCUAGGCUUUCCUGCUAGACAAGAAGCGUUCCUGGAGCUGCUUUAGAAGAGAUGAAAGCUUUUCAAGGACCCUUUUUCCCCUCUAUCUGCCUGAAAUAAUUUCCUAAUAACUCCUGUAACAUUCCUCCUUCUGAACAAGUUAACCCUAACUGCUGUUAGGGUGUUUAGGGCCACCACAUUUUCUCACUGCUUUCUGCUGAAAAGGGACGCUGAAUGGGGAACAGCAGCUAAGGCUUCUCCGGGGGUUUUAAGGGUCCUUGGAAGAAUGGCAUAUUCAUGCGUGGUUUAGUUUGCAGCACCAUUGGGAGCUGGAUUGCUUUUAGGCAAGAAGAAACAAUUUGACUUAUAGUAUUGUUAGAUAUGAGCUGUAAAUUUCUCUUCAAAAAAUCAGUAUGUAUGUUCAAUUCUUUGCUUUCUACUUUUAAACUUAACAUCCUUGUAGCACAACGUUUUUCGAUUACCUGCUCCACCCUGACUCAUUCCGAUUACCUGCUCUGCCCUGACUCAUUUUCCACCCUGACUCUUUCUGAUUUCCUGCUCUGCCAUAACCAUUUUUCCAGCCAAACCACUCACCCGUACACUAUCUUUAAAUUAGCCAAUUGGAAUUAGUUUAGCCUGUGCAUCUAACCCUAGCCAAUAGGGGAACACAGCAGCAGGGUCCACGUGGAUCGGGAAUAAGAACCUCCUCUCCUCCCUUGUCCAGGUGUGUGCUCACUAUUGCUCCAAAUGUAAGGGGGCACCCUUCUAUAGAAUUACAUUGCCUUGCUGAGAAUUAAAAAAAAAAAAAUUAUAUUUGAGUGCUGUUUCUUUUGCGGCACAAAACUUUAUAACAAUUUGGGGGGCUCACCUGUAAUUACAUUCCUCUCAGGGCCCACCGGUCUCUGGCUUGCUCUUGUGAGUAGGUGCACCCUGCCCGCUUGUGGUGGCCUCAGGGGUAAGAAAUCAGGACCCACCCAGUGAGAGAAAUAACCCAAGCUGUCAGCAACGCGGAAAGAAAUGGGCUAGCAACCUCUUAAAGCAUCCUCACGUACUGCGGCGAUGACUCUGUGCACAGACCAAGGAAGGAGAGAGGCCGCGGAAGUCAGGUAAAGUACUUCCUUGGUGGUCAGAUUCUGGAGGGCUAAACGUGUGUGUGCGUGAAUGAUCAAAAACAACCCUACUUGCGGUGUUGUUCAUGUGGAUGGUGACAAGUCCUACUGCUGGAUGGCGUCAGUGGGUUUCUCUCCGUGGUUCCGUAGCUACCUCAUAUGGCUUAGGGCGGAUUAUGCCAUGGGAUUUAUACCGGCACCCAACAUUAAGAGGGGCCUAAUUCUCCCUUAAGGGGGCAACGAAAGAGGAUAACAUGAGUGGGAAGUGUGCAAGGGACCUUCAGAGGGGGAAAGGGAGGAAACAGGUGAACCUUCUGGUACAGGCAAGGCUAGACAUCCCUGGUUUGAGGUGGUGAGGCUUUGGGGUCAGGCAAGGUGAGACAUCCCUGGUUUGAAGGUUUGAGGCUUUCAGGACAGGCAAGGCAAGCCAUCACCUGGUUUGAGUGGUUGAGCCUUCCGAGGCAGGCAAGGCAAGACAUCCUUGGUUUGAGGGGUUGAGCCUUCUGGGGCAGGCAAAGUGAGACACCCCUGCUUUGAGGGGUUGAGCCUUCCGCAGAUUUCAGGGGGUUGAACCUUACACAAACCUCUGGUGGUAAGAAAAAUACUCAAAACUCCCCUUUCCUUUCAUCUUGGGGAAAGAAAGAGUAGCUCCACUCCCACUGGUCCCUCCUCUAGAGGAAGGGGAAGGGGAAGGAGAGGAGAGAACAGCAGCAUGAGCGGCUGGCAGAGGCAGAGAAAGAGAAACAAAGUCAAAGAGAAAAAGAAGCAGAGAGAGACAGACAAACGGAAUCAGAGAGAGAAAGAGAGAGAUAGUGGUAAAGAGAAAACAGUGUAUCCUAUUCCUUUAAAAUCCAGGGUAAAUUAAAAACCUAUAAUUAAUAAUUGAAGGUCUUCUCAGGAACCUUGUAACACUACAAUACCACCUUGUUGUCAGUGUAAACAAGGGCAUAGCCCAAAAGCACUGAGGCCACUGACAAUCCCUAGCCUUCCUAAUAAAAAUUCUUAACCCAGUAACCUGCGGAUGGUCCAAAUACCUUCAAUCUAUUGUGUCCAAUGCUUUGCUAAUGGAAGAAAGUAGAAAAAUAACUUUUAGAGGAAGCCUCAUUGUGAGCCCACCUUAUCAGGUC